UUUUUUAUUAGGGUAACUUUCCCACAUCAGAAGCAGAAGACUGACUAUACACACACAAAAAGUAGUCUUUGCAAUCAACACCCUCUUUGUCGUGUCACUGUCCUCGUCUUCGACGCUGGUCGCUGUCCUCGUCUCCGAGGCUCGCCGCAGUCCUCAUCAACGACGCUCGUCGCCGACCUCGUCAACGACGCUCGUCGCCGUCCUCGUCAACGACGCUCGUCGUCGUCCUUGCCGUCAUCCUCACGACCCUCCCCUGCAACUCUGUUGUUCUACUUGUUUUCUCACUGCAUUUGUUCUCCUCUUUUUUUUUUUUCCUCCUCACGUCAAACCCUAACAUCACAAAACGAUGGAAGAUCGACGUGGUGAUAGAUAGUGACGACGACCUAGCCAUUCCCGACAAGUUUCUUGCUCUCGCACAACCCCCAUGCGUCACCAGAUUCGUCGCCGAAUUGACUUCUCGCUGGCAAGGGUCGAUACGUGGCGCCGGAAACCCCUGACUUCCCAGCCAACUCAAGGGAAGGCACGAAGCUACGAAGUCGCCUCGCCGAAACCAUUCGAGCUUGCGACCAUCUCUGAAGAGGUCACUGUUGUUGGCGUCUUCAAAUCAAAACUCCAGCAGCGGUGUCAACGAGAACUGCCCGAGUCAGCCGCCGACCGUUCCUUCUCCUACGACGGCAAUGUCCUCUGUUCGUUUCUAAGUGUCAAACCGUCACUGUCACCGGUGUCGGCGAUCUGAGCUUGUUCUCUAAUAAUCGAGUGAAGAAGAGUACUAAAAUGGAACACAUAUGGGUUCUACUUACCCGAGCAUGAACAUGGGAAAAAACAGUUCUUUGAGUACUUACAAGGUGAAGCAGAAUCUGGCUUGGGGAAGAGUUCAAUGACUUUCGUACUAAACUAGCUGGAUUGAAUAGGUAUAUAUUACAUAUGUUUUGUUAAGCAUUUGCCUAGACCAGGCAAAAGAGUUGUUUAAAUUUGACCUAUAAUGACUAUGUGGUAAAAGAGUUAUUUAAAUCUGACGUAUAAUGACUAAGGGAAACAGUACCCUAAUAACAAAUUCUAAUUGGACACUUGAA